CUACGGGUGGCAGCAGUUUCGAAUAAUUCACAAUGGGCGCAAGCCUGAUGAUGCGACGUUACGUGAAGGAAGAAAGCUUUAAGUUGUAAACUUCUGUCGUUAAGGAACAAAAAAUUAAGUAGUACUUUUAUAUUGAGUUAACUUAAAAAGGAAGCAGUGGCUAAUUUCGUGCCAGCAGCCGCGGUAAUACGGGAACUGCAAGCGUUGCUCGGUUUUAUUGGGCGUAAAGAGUACGUAGGCUGUUAUAUAUGUUAAUUGUUAAAUUUUAAAGUUAAUCUUUAAAUUUGCUGUUAAAACUAUAUAACUAGAAUUUCAAAGAGGUAAGUGGAAUUUCAAGUGUAGCGGUGAAAUGCGUAGAUAUUUGAAGGAACACCAAUGGCGAAAGCAACUUACUGGGUGAUAAUUGACGCUAAAGUACGAAAGUAUAGGGAGCAAAAGGGAUUAGAUACCCGAGUAGUC
rnacentral:rRNA from 1 species